UGCAUCUAGAAAGAGAUGGAGGUGAUGUC
rnacentral:piRNA from 1 species